CAGUAGUCACGAGUUUGAUCAUGGCUCAAGAACGAACGCUGGCGGCAUGCCUAACACAUGCAAGUCGAACGAGGACCUUCGGGUCUAGUGGCGCACGGGUGCGUAACGCGUGGGAACCUGCCUUUAGGUUCGGAAUAACUCAGAGAAAUUUGAGCUAAUACCGGAUAAUGUCUUCGGACCAAAGAUUUAUCGCCUUUAGAUGGGCCCGCGUUGGAUUAGCUAGUUGGUGGGGUAAAGGCCUACCAAGGCGACGAUCCAUAGCUGGUCUGAGAGGAUGAUCAGCCACACUGGGACUGAGACACGGCCCAGACUCCUACGGGAGGCAGCAGUGGGGAAUUUUGGACAAUGGGCGCAAGCCUGAUCCAGCAAUGCCGCGUGCAGGAUGAAGGCCUUCGGGUUGUAAACUGCUCUUGUACGGAACGAAACGGUGAGCUCUAAUACAGUUUGCUAAUGACGGUAUCGUAAGAAUAAGCACCGGCUAACUACGUG
rnacentral:rRNA from 1 species